rnacentral:lncRNA from 1 species
ACCCCACAUAUCAGCACGGAGUUGUAAUAUAAAUAAGAGACAAGUAUGAUGAUAAAACUUACAUAGUAAGUGGUAACAGUGCCAGCAGAGUUGCCUGGGACCAGCUUAAUGUUCAUAUCAAUUUUCCCAAACAGAUAUUGGUUCUUGGAUUGAAAACCAGAGCCGGAGAAUUUGUCGAGGGUGAGAGUGAGAAGGUGGCCGUUUUCGAGAAUCUUGCCCCUGCCAUCACCCCAAGUAACAUCGAUGUCUUGGUUAAAGUUGGCAGCUGAAGCAAGUAUUACAAAGCUGAAUAAAAGAGAUAGAAGCAACGAAGUGGUCAUUAUUUUGGUGGGUUUGUAUUGUAAUUUAGAUUACUGAUGUUUGAAAUGGGGGAGUGAUAGAGGGUGGUUAUACAGGGGGGAAGGAUUUGGUGAAACAGAGUAGAGAGGGGUUGUUUGGAAGCUUCGUGCAAUGUGUUUCCCUCGGGACAUUGAGUGAAUCGAAGUUGUAAACAGCUGGAACCAUAAAAGAGAAAGAAAGAAGGGGUCCAAAUGUGAUAAUACAUAACUAAUGGCUGUUCCUUCCUUCCAAAAUGCAUGUUUAAUUAAUGGGUUUGGUGCCUUCUUCCUAUGUCUGGUUGGUGCAAGCAGAUAGAUAUCAAAGUCAGGAACUUAAUCGGAUUUUAAAAUUUGAGCUUUUAAAUAAAAAAUAAAUUAUUUAAGAUAAUAUCAAUGAGUGUUAAAAUAAACUUUAAAAAUAUAGGUGUUUUUAUAUCCAAUAGUAAAUUACAUUAUAUUUUUAAAAAGAAAUCGUGUAUUUGAAUUUUGAAAAUAUCGAAAUGAAUCUUAAAAUAAACAUGAUUGAUUUGUUGUGCAAUUUGAGUGAACUGAAAGAUUUCAUUAGCUUAAAAUCAGUAGUGUUAAUUAAUGUGAGUCAUUGUCAAUAGCGAAACAAGGGGAGAAUAGCAAAUUUUUUUCAUAUGAUUUUUUUAAAUUUUAAAUUAUUAAAGAUAAAAUUACACUUUGAUUAAACUUAAAAAUAUAAAAAUUUAAUUUAAUCUUUUAAAAAUUAUAAAAAUAUAGUAUAUUAAAAUGAUAAAAUUAUAUUUUUCUAUCGUAAAAAUUACAAUUUAAUUUCGACUCUUAAGGGAUUUUUUAAUUUCACCCCUUGUUAUUGUCAUAUUGAUUGACUAAUUUUUGGGACCAACAAAACCUCAUCCACUUAUCUCAUCAUCUCAAACAAAAUUAAUAAUUAAAUUAAUUAUAAAAAUGUCUAACCAAAUUCACAUUUUUAACAUUCUUUCAAUGAAAAUUAAAAUGAUUUUCAUGCUUCGCGUUAGGUUGAUUAUUCGUUUAUCUCAAAUUAUGGAGUAUAAAUUUGAAGGCUAAAAUAUACUUUAAUCCUCCUAUUUUUUUCAGAAAUUUAAACCCUCUACUUUUGAGGAUAAAUAGACAUAAAUGAAUUAUUUAAUCAUUAAGUAGAAAUUAAUCACAAAUAAUUAAAAUAGAAAAAUAAAAUUUAAAAUUUGUUAAAAAAAUAUAUUUGAACAUUAAGUAGCAAAAUAAAAAAAAACACAAGUAACUUAAAUGCAAAAAUAGAAUUUAAAAAUUAUAAAAAUUAAUUCUUUUUCAAAAUACUAAAUUGUCUUUAUUAAGUUUUAAUACCUAAAUUACUUCUACUAAUUUUUUAUAAUACCUAAACUACCCCUAUUUACUCCUAAUGGCUAUCAAAGGAGAUGGUUUUAUUAUUUAUAGAUAACUUUUUCUUUUCAUUUAUUAUCUAUACUCAAAUAUAAAUUACUUUAAAUAAAAGAAUUACAUCAAUUAGCUUUUUACAGUAUUGAUAAGUAUUAAAAGUAAUAUGUUUUAACCUCAUUUUUAAUGCGUUUUUAGGUGAUAAUUUGACGUUAAUUGGGAAUUUUAUACUCCUAAUACUUUAAAUUUAUGUUUUGAUGCCUAAUAGAGCAUUUGGGAGAAAAAUGAGCGAAAAACGAGUAAAAACUAAAAAAUCAAAGCAAGCUAUAGGACCUAUACGAGCCGGCCCAUUUCACACAACCAUGUGACCCACAUGAGCUACCAUACGAGCGUAUGGUAGGUCGUGUCGAUUGCGCGGAUUUGCACCCUGAAUAGCAAAAAAUCAUGAUUUUUAGGUUUUUUUAGGCAUUCUAAGACAUAUAUAUGACAAAAAAAUAAAAAGAUAGAAGGGAGCCAUUAUAGAAUUUUCAAGAAAAUAACUCGAAAAACACCAUUGAAGCCGAUUCUAAAUUAGAUUUCCGUCAAGAUUGAAGACUCCCAUUGAUUUCUUAGGAGACUAUCAUAAGUUUCUUUAUUUCUUUCGGUUAUACUGUGUAGCGACGUAUAAAUUUCGCUUUGGUCGCUAGUUGAGGUGAUUAUUUAAACAUUUGAAAAUGAAAUUUCGGUUUUAAAAAGAAAAGGAGUCGCCACCGAUCUUUUUCUAGGUGUGAUCGGGCACCUAAUAAAUCCUCUCUUUUUUUUAAAAAAAAAUAUUUUUGAACAAAAAUGAAGGCCGAAUUUGGGUGUACGCGAAAAAUCCAAAGGAAAAUAGGGUUCGAGAGUCGGUUACACGCGAGGAAGGUAUUAGUCCCCUCGCGACGCCCAAAAUUGGUAUCUUGUUAAACACGCGUUGUCUUAAUUCUCAAGAAUACAAGUUUAAUUUAAUAUUUAAUCGCGAUCCGUUUGAAAUACGAGAAUUAAAAAUUUUUGGUUUUUUAGAAGGACGUCUUGUUUUUAACACGAGCCAAUGAUAUCCACCCAACAUAGCGAUGAAAUCAAUGACUUAGUGUUGAAAUCGGUAUGUUGCCUUAUUUAUUAAAAACAUAAAAAAAAAUCAUAUGCAAUAGGAAUUUGUAAAUACUGCGAACAAUGAUACAAUUAAUGACAAAUAUUAAAAUGCAAUAUUAGAAUAAAAAUAACAAUAAUAUUCACAAUAAAGAAAAUGAUAAUAAAAAAUAAUGUUCUAAUAAUAUAAUCACAGAAAUAAUAUAUUUGUAAUAAUAGUAGAAAAAACUAAUAUGUACAUGAAAAAUACACAUGUAUAUCUAUAUGUUAAUAAUAAUGAUAAUGAUAGUAAUACUAGCAAUAAUAAUGAAAUACAAAAAGCAAAUAUAAUAUAAUAAUAUUAAAAUAAAGUAAAUAAAAAUAUUAUAUAUAAAUAUAUAUGCAUAUAUAUACAUAUAUAAUAAAAACAUACAUUAAUAAUAAUAAUAAUAAUAAUAUUAAUAAUAUUAAUGACGACGAUGAGAAUAAAAAUAACAAUACUAAUAUAUUAAGUUACAAAAGUAAAAUAAUAAUAAUGAUAAUGAUAAUAUAUCAGGUAACUAUAGUAAAAUAAUAAGUAAUAAUAAUAACGUGUAAAUAAUAAUAGUAAUGAAAGUAAUAACAAGUAAUAAAAGGGAUUAAAUUAAAUUUGAAACAGAAAGUUCGGGGCGAAUUUGAAAAUAAAUGAAGAAGGAAAGGACCAAAUCGAAUGUGCAAACAAAAAGGAGGGACCAAAUCGGACAAUAAACCCUCUCUCUAAAAUGCGUUGUACCACCUAGGACUAAAUUGAAAUCCAAGCGUAAAUUUAGAGCAAGAUUAAGAAUCCAUAAAAACUUAAUUGCUAAGUAGCAGAAAAGCGGAAGGGCUAAAAGCGAAUUAGCCCUUCCAAUGAAAAAAGCGCGGAUCCUGAGUGGAGCGGGUCGGAUUGGGUCGGGUCGCCUCAAAACGACGUCGUUUUGGGGUGUUUUGCGGCUAAAUUAAACGACGUCGUUUUGGUAGUGUUAAUAAAAGGCCAAAUUUUUGCAAAAAAAAAUUCAUUUUCCUUCUCUUUUCUUCAAAAAAAAAACUGAGAGCACCCUUUGGCCCUCUCUCCUUCCCCUCUGGUCCAGUCACCGGACCGUCCCCGUCUGCCACGCCGGCCACCGUCGGCCACCGUCGCCGGCCCCGAAAGCGGUGGCCGGAGUUUAAAAAAGGUAUUUUUUCUUUUUUCCUUUUUAUAUUUUUAUAUGUAAUUGAUUUUUUUAAGGAAAAUAGAGAAAACUUCAAUAUAUGUAUGUAAAUGGGUUCGAAAAUAAAAGGAAAAUAAAUAAAAAAGAAAAAAAAGGUAACCUUUUGCCUUCGUGAAACUUGUUUAAUCUGUUUUUGGAGAUCUGUUUGAUAUUAGGAUCUCUAGUUUGAUCUCUUUUUUUCUCCUUUUCUUGUGUUUGAUGUAUGUUUUCAAGUAUUUUUUCGUAUUGAUUUUUUUUUUUUUUAAAGUGUCAAUACAAGUGGUUUUGUGGCUUUAUAUAGCCAUUCUUACAACUUGUUGUUUUUUUAAUCUUUCUAUCACUUCUGUUGCAGGUGGAUGAGGUCAAUGGUGGCAGGUGGAGCGACGGUAUGGUGGCUGAUAGAGGCUAGGGCGGCUGACCUAGGGUUUUUUUUAGUUUCUUUUUUUUAAUUGUUGUGGGCUAGGGUUAAAAGAAUUUUGGGCUGCAUUGUUUUGGGCUUAGUGGGUUUAGGUUCGUUUAGGGUUAGUGGGUUGGUUGAUGGGUUUAGCUAAUGUUGGGUUUGGGUCUUGUUUUGAGUUAGUGGGUUUAAUUUAGGUGGGUUAGGUUUAAGCUAAAAUGGGCCUGGGCAAAAUUGGUGUGUACAUAUUGUAUCUUGAAUGUUUUUAUUUUUAGGCAUGAAUUAAUUUUCUAAAUACCUAGGGAGAUGAACCUUAUGAUGGAUUCUUACGUUUGAUUUUUAUUUUACGUAACAAAUACUUAUUUUUUUUAUUCUUAAUUAUGUGUGCUUAAUUUCUUAGUUUACUAUUUCUAAACUAUUUAUCCAUAUUUGAUGUACUUAAAUCGGAGAUUAAAUAAACCAUAUUUAAGCGUAGAUCUCGCUUAAUUGAGUGGAAUUGCAUGCAAUCCCAAAAAUAUGAUAACAUAAAUCUAUUGGAUUAGAGUCAAAUCUAAUAGGGGAAUCCAUAGCCCGAGUUAAUGCGAUAAUAAGAGUUUUAAUUAGAAAGAAAUUUUAAUUAAUCAACCUAGAGUUAGUUGCUCUUAUUUCCGAAAGAGAUAUUAGCAUGAUUAGGGAUUUCUAUGGACCAAGUCACUAAGUAAAGAAAUUGCGUAAUUUAGAUUGAUAGUGACAGAUGAAAUCUAGGUGAAUUAUUUCUCGAGUAUUGUUUCACUUAUUGGUUGUUAAUCGUUUAUUUGCUUGUUUUGUUCUUUGCCAUAUUCAUUAGUUAAUUAAAUUAGUUAAUUUUAAUUUUUAAAUCAAUCGCUCGAAUUAUUCGGUUAAAUAAUAAAAAAAGACAAUAGUUACUAGUAUUUUUAAUAUUCAUAAAAACGAUACCUUUAUUCAUUAUAGUUAUUUUAGUCAAAAUUUUAACUAGUUCUGUGGACAUAAAGUAAUACCAAUAAUUUUGAUAAGAAAUUUGAUUUUUUAUUCAAAUUUUAUAAAUAAAAAAAUAAUAUUGAGAGGUGUUUAAAAACAUAAUUUAAUUUAAUGGAAAUCCAACAUAAGAAUUCAACACUAAUAUCAAAUUUGCAUCAAAUUGGAAUUGAUGGAUUACAUAAGAGAAAGACACAUGAUAUGAUAGGAAAGCAGGUUCAUGAAUGGCUGCCGAGUGGGUGGAUAAUUAUGAAAAGGCAAACAAAAGACAGAAUAUGAUUACAAAUAAACAGCUGGCUGCCAAAUUCAUUAGUGUGAAUCAUUAUAUUUAUAAUUAAAAUAUGUUAUAACAUUUUAAAAAAUAUUUAUUUAUCCAAAUUUAUAUUAUAUUUAUAAUUAAUAUGAUAUGAAUGUUAAGCCCUCAAAUAAUUUUGAGGUCCUAAAUGCCUAUAAAAUAAUGUUGUGGCAUGGCCCCAUGGAGGUCUUGUUUGGAAUGGAUGUAUGUAUAUCCCACCAACAACAAGUCGGCUGGCACACAAUACAUGAACAAAUCAUUGGCAAAAUAUCACAAUAUAGUAAUAUAAUAUAAUUGGUCCACUUUAAAAGUUUCCAUUAUCAUACAUACUCCUAUUUGAAUAUAUAUAUAUAUAUAUUAAAACACAAUUUCCUUAGUAUAAAAUAAUUAAUUUUUUGAGUUUUUAAUUCAUUAAAUACUUCUUCUUUUAAAUUAACUUUCAUAAAAUCGAAAUUUAUUAAUAUAGAUCCCUAUAUUUUUUUUACUAUUCAAGGUUUCGAUAUAUUUUGAAAUCGUAAAAUUUCCACUGAGACAAAUGUUAUUCUAGAAUAAUUAAUUGAUUUAGAUUUGUGAAUUCUUAUAGAUUAUUUAGUGGUAGAAUGGAAAUAAUUAGGAGAAGAAUUCCUCGUGAGUAAUGAAUGGGAAUAACAAAAAAUUGGAAGAAGAAAGGAUUUUUUGGUUAGGUGCAUGAAAUUGGUUAAGCAUUUUAUUCAAACAAAUAUAGAACCAGAAUGAAUGGUUUUAUGUUGUUUGGAUGUUUAGAUCUUACUUGUUAUAGAGAGGUGGUUGUUAUAUACCUAUAACAACAUAUUGUUAUGGAGAGAUAAUUGUUGUAAGCUUACCAUAAAAUUUAUGUUGUGAAUUUUCAUUAAAUAAAGAAAGUGAGAAUUAAGUUCAAAAAAGAAAGAAAAUAAGAAUUAAAUAAAUAAAAUUAAAAGAUAUAUAACAAGUGUAUGUAUUAUUGUUUUUAUGCAUAUUUUAUUUUACAUUAUUAAUUAUAAAGUUCAUAAAUCUAAUAAGUUAAAUUAAUCAAUAAGUUAUCAAAUUAAUUUAAUUAAUUAAUUAAUUAAUUAAUCAUUGUACUUAACUAAUGAGAUAAACAAAAGGAAGAAGAAAAUGAUUGAACGAGGAAGAAUGAAGCGAAGGUUGGGGAGUGGUUUCAGUUUUGAAGACAGUUAGGGAAUUGGGAAGGAGGAGUGUGUACAUGAAUAUGUAUGACCUGUAUGCAUGACCCUUUUAUAGUGGGGAAUAAACUUGGAUACAUGUCUUGAAGUUACUAACGUGGAAAUUUGAUUUGAUACCCUUGGCAAUAAUAGUGAUACUACGUCCUAGGAUCACGUCCUAAGAUGAGAUGUUAUAGGAAGACUAGCAAUUAAUUACUUUGGGCCUCUACAUGCCCCCACAUAGUCUUAGCGGAGUUGUUCCUUUCUAAAGUUCACUGAGUUGAUGUUCGUGAACUAACCCUAGGUUCGUAGUAUAGUUGGUUCCAUUGAGAGAUACACAUUUAGCUCUCUAUGGAUGCACUUUGAGGUUCGCAAUGUAACAGCCCGAUUCUGGGCCUAGUCGGAAUAGUGGUUUCGGGAUCACAAAUCCGAAGAGGGAAAAUAUGGUUAUUAUUAUAUUUUUAUGAUCUACAAUUUCACGGAAAAUUUUCGUAAAAAUUUCGUUCGAAAAUUUCGACGUUUGGGCACUCAAUUUAGUCAAAAGGACUAAAUUGUAAAUAGUGCAAAAGUUGAGUUCUACAUCUUAGAGGUGUCUAAUUGUUAUGAAAUUUUAAAUUGGAGGUCUUUAUGUGGUAAUUAGACCAUUAGUUAGUUGAUGGACAAAAAUAGACAUAAGAAAUGGGUGAAAUAGAUUUUUUUUAAAUGGGGGCAUUUUAGUCAUUUGGUUAUUAAAUAGAAUUAAAUGGGAAAAAGAUGGCAAAAUAUGCUCAUCUUCUUCAUGGUGAACGAAAUCAGCAAGGGGGAAGCCAUAUUUAGGGUUUUUAAGCUUUCAAGCUCCAUAGUAAGUGAUUCUAAGCCCCGUUUUUAAUGUUCUUCGCAUUUUUGGAAUCCUCGUAACUCGGUUUAGCUUAUUCUAGCAAUAAUUCGUGUUAGGGAUCAUAUUUGGAAAAAUACCCAUAGGUGAAAUGUGUUUAUUUUGCUGUUUUAUGGUGGAAUAUGAAGCUAUAAAUUAUGUUAAACAACUUUUGCUAAGCGAUUUUAAGCGAAAACGGGUAAAUAGGCAUAAUCGGUAAAAAUAAUUAUUGUUCAUAAGUGUAUGUUAGAGUGAGAAUUUGAUGUUGCCAUAGAAGGGAAAAAUGUUCAGCAUGUCAUAAAACCUAAGAAUAAGUGAUGAAGUUUAAUUUCCGAGCUUGGGGACAAAAGUGUAAUUAUGCAAAAGUUUGGGGGCAAAAUUGUAAUUUUUCAAAAAGUUGGGUGGUGGAUUAUUUUAAUGAAUGUGAACAUUAAAUGAGUUAAAUUUGCUAUUAUAGAUCAAGAAAGACGUGAAGAUUAUCUCAAACGAGGAAAAGAAAAGAUAGUGGAGUGAAGUGCAAUAUUACGAUAUUUUGCACCGAGGUAAGUAAACACGUGACUUGAUGUAUUAUUUUGACAUUAAUUGAUAUAUGUUGAGAUUUAUUUGGAAUUAAAAUAAAUGUUUGGCCAUAUCCUAAAAAUGUUGUUAAAUCGGGAAAGGUGGUAAAGGGUUGCAAUAUAUGAUUUAUGGGUUGAACACUCGGAAUAAGCCGAAGUAUGUUGUACAUAAAGGGGUUGCUGUGUGCUGAUUCCCCGAUUCAUUGGUGGUGCUAUGUGCGAUAUCCACCGUAUCUUUGAAAUGUGAAAGGGGGUUGCUAUGUGCUGAUUCCCCCGAGGGGUUGCUAAGUGCUGAUUCCCCAGUUCAUUGGUGGUGCUAAGUGCGAUAUCCACCGUAUCUCUGAAAUAAAAAGGGGGUUGCUAUGUGCUGAUUCCCCCAAGGGGUUGCUAAGUGCUGAUUCCCCGAUUAAGUGGUGGUGCUAAGUGCGAGAUCCACCAAUAACGGUUAACAUUCCGAGUGCUCAAUGAAAAAGUGUGGAAGGUGAAUAUUUCCAUAUGGUGGGAAAUUUUUAUGGGGCAAAUAUUGAGUUGGAUACUAAAUCGAUCCAUGUAUGAGAUGGGAGAAAAUAUCAAAAACGAAAAAAGGAACGAUUUAGUUAUAAACUGUGUUGAACAACAGCAGAUGGGUAACUUUGAAAAAUCACCAUAAAUGGUGGAAAAUGAAUGGGAAGCUGAAUAAUAUAUGAAAUUGAAGCUGAAUGUGUCUAUUUUCAUAUGAAAUAAAUAGAAUAAGCAAAAGAGUUGUAUUUUUGGAGAUAUCUAAAUUUUACUGAAACAGGGCUGGAUUGAUUUCGGGAUCCCCUGUUCUAACUUUGGAAAAUCACCAAAAAUUGUACAAAAAUAAUUAUGGUGUGAAAUUUAUAUUCCUGGAUUCCUUAUUGACUCUAUUUUUAAUAGAAACAAGCGAAACCAUUUUUAAAAUUUUGUACAGAGAGUUAAGUGAAUUUUUUUGAGGAAGGGUCAGAACCGUUGGGCAGUGAAACAGGGGAAGUUUUAAUGAAUAAACUGUACUAAUUGGCUGGGUAAAAAUUUCUGAAAUUUUUAUGGUGAAAUGGUAUAUGGGUCUAGUUUCAGGGAAAAUUUACGAAACUCAAUUUGGAGCCCUGUAGCUCCGGAUAAAAAUAAAUUAGCGACUAUGACGCAGAAAAACAGUUUGCUGGAAAUUGCCUAAACAAUGAAGUUAUUCAUGAAUAAGUUUAUAUUUUGGUGUAGUUAUAUGAGUAAUUACUUAUUUAUCAUGUGUUUACUUACUAAGCUAUAUGCUUACUCGAUUUUAUUUUUCCCUUGAUUAUAGUGACUUCCGACAACUCGAAAAUUUGGAACGAAGUCAGACAAUCAUCCACACUAUCCUUCACACUUGGGGUAUUUUGCUACUAUCAUUCCGGAAAAUUAUGGCAUGUAUAGACGACCUAUGAAAUCUGAAAUCAUCAUGUAAAUAUAUGUUAUGGUUUGAUUUAAAAUGUGGUGUUCAUUAAUAGUUAAAUUGUGAGUAUUAUUAUAAAUGAGUUUGGUUGAUAUAUAUAUAUAUUGGAUUGUGAUUUAAAUUUGCAGGAGGUUUAAGCAAAAUUAAGCAGAAAUGCUGUCGAAAUUUUUUUUAAAAAAACUUAGUAAUACCUCAUACUCUGUUCCGAGCCGGAAUACGAGUAAGGGGUGUUACAUUUUAGUGGUAUCAGAGCUACGGUUUAGUCGGUUCUCGGACCAAUAAAAUACGUGUGGAAGUUAGUCUAUACAUGCCAUAAAAUUAUUGUGAUAGUGUGAUGAUUUCUGACAAUUUAAAAUUUUGUUUUAUAUAGUAAAUGGAUCCUAAUCGAAGUAUGGCAGAUGAUGUUGAAAGUAACACGCCGGUUCCCGCACAAGGGACCGCACAUGAAGAGAGUAGACAUGAGACACAUGGACAGGAUGAGGCUCGAGAAGCCUUCCUCCGAAUGAUGAGUGAUUGGUAUACAGAAUAUGUCCGUGUAAAUCCGAAUGUUCCACCUCCUCCACCCCCUCCUAUUCCUCAACCGGUCCCCGUAGCUCCACGGAGUGCCGAAUUGGUGAGAUCAAGUAAGCCACCUGUUGAUAGAAUUCGAAAGCAUGGGGCUGAAGAUUUUAGGGCCAAUGUUGAUGAUGAUCCGGAAAAAGCCGAGUUUUGGCUUGAAAAUACUAUUCGGGUAUUUGAUGAAUUAUCUUGCACCCCUGAAGAAUGUUUGAAAUGUGCUGUGUCUUUAUUGAAGGAUUCGGCAUAUCGUUGGUGGAAAACAUUGAUAUCGGUGGUUCCAAAAGAAAGAGUUACUUGGGACUUCUUUCAGGAAGAAUUUAGAAAGAAAUAUGUAAGCCAACGAUUUAUUGAUCAAAAAUGCAAAGAGUUUCUCGGGUUGAAACAGGGCCGAAUGUCCGUAGCAGAAUAUGAACGGGAGUUUGUUCGGCUUAGUAAAUAUGCCCAGGAAUGUGUGCCUACGGAGGCUAUUAUGUGUAAAAGAUUUGAAGAGGGGCUAAAUGAAGACAUCAGAUUGCAUGUUGGGAUUUUAGAGUUAAAAGAAUUUGUGGUGUUAGUUGAUCGGGCCUGUAAAGCUGAAGAACUGAGUAGAGAAAAGAGAAGGGCAGAGAUGGAAUCUCGAGAUGUAAGGAAGAGGACAAUGGGCAGAACAUUUCAAUCUCAUUCGAAGAAGUUUAAAGGGAUGGAUCCACGACCAACUGGUUCAGUUGGGUAUUCACGCAGAGACCGAGGGAGGUCGUAUUCUGGAGCUACAACUCGAGCUACCUCUGUAGCAAGUGUGGGCAAUGUAGGAAACACCCGGCCUGAAUGUCAACAGUGUGGCAGGCGACAUAUUGGUGAGUGUUGGGGAUUUAAACGAGCUUGUUUCAGGUGUGGUUCCCAAGAGCAUUAUGUAAGAGAUUGCCCUGAGAGAAGAGAGGAAGAAAAUUUGCCAAGAGCUAGAUCGGGUGAUAUUGUUAGUAGAGGGAGACCGCCGAGAAAUGUGGGAAGCAAAGUCAGUGGUAAAAGUGUGAUGAAAGAUGCAGCUGGAGGAUCAGAAAUUAGAGCACCUGCCAGGACUUAUGCCAUACGUGCUCGAGAGGAUGCCUCAUCUCCCGAUGUGAUUACUGGUACAUUUUCUCUUCAUGAUAUAGAUGUUAUUGCUUUGAUUGAUCCCGGCUCUACUCAUUCAUAUGUAUGCAUGAAAUUGGUAUCUAGUAAGAAAUUGCCUGUUGAAAACACUGAAUAUGUAGUUAAAGUAUCAAAUCCAUUAGGCAAGUAUGUCUUAGUUGAUAAGAUUUGCAAGAAUUGCCCCCUGAUGAUUCAAGGUCACUGUUUCCUGGCUAAUUUGAUGUUGUUACCAUUUGAUGAGUUCGAUGUUAUUUUGGGGAUGGAUUGGUUGAUAUUGCAUGAUGCCAAGGUGAAUUGUAGACAGAAAAUUCUUGAAUUAAAGUGUGAAAAUGGUGAAAUUCUCCAGAUUGAAACAGAGGAGCCGAAUAAGUUACCUAUGGUGAUUUCGCACAUGUCUGCUCAGAAAUACUUGAGAAAGGGAUGUGAAGUUUAUCUUACUUAUGUGUUGAAUACUGAUAUAACUGGGUCGAAGCUUGAAUCAGUGCCGGUAGUCCGUGAAUUUCUAGAUGUAUUUCCAGAGGAAUUGCCUGGGUUACCUCCGACUAGAGAAGUUGAGUUUUCUAUUGAUCUGUUACCUGGUACUGCACCGAUUUCUAUUGCACCGUAUCGAAUGGCUCCGACUGAGUUGAAGGAAUUAAAAGCUCAGUUACAAGAGUUGACAGAUAAAGGAUUUGUGAGACCGAGUUUUUCUCCUUGGGGUGCUCCUGUGUUAUUUGUGAAAAAGAAGGACGGCUCUAUGAGACUUUGUAUUGACUAUCGUCAGCUCAACAAGGUGACUAUAAAGAACAAGUAUCCUUUGCCGAGAAUUGAUGAUUUAUUUGAUCAAUUAAAAGGGGCAACAGUGUUUUCUAAGAUUGAUUUGAGGUCUGGUUACUAUCAGUUAAGAGUUAAAGAGUCUGAUGUGCCGAAAACCACCUUUAGAACAAGGUAUGGACACUAUGAAUUUCUGGUAAUGCCUUUUGGGUUAACAAAUGCUCCAGCUAUUUUUAUGGACUUGAUGAACCGAAUUUUUCGGCCGUACUUGGAUAAGUUCGUGGUGGUGUUCAUAGAUGAUAUUUUAAUCUAUUCUCGGGAUGAAUCUGAGCAUGCAGAACAUUUAAGAACUGUGUUGCAGAUUCUGAGAGAAAAGAAAUUGUAUGCUAAAUUCAGCAAAAGUGAGUUUUGGCUUCGUGAGGUUGGAUUCUUGGGACAUAUAGUUUCAAGUGAAGGUAUUCGGGUUGAUCCAAGCAAAAUUUCAGCAAUUGUUGAUUGGGAGCCACCAAAGAAUGUGACAGAAGUUAGAAGCUUUCUGGGCUUAGCUGGGUAUUACAGACGCUUUGUCAAGGGAUUUUCGAUGAUUGCUUCUCCUAUGACUAAGUUACUGCAGAAGAAUGUCAAGUUUGAAUGGACCAAUAAAUGUCAACAGAGUUUUGAAAAGUUGAAGGCAUUAUUGACUGAGGCGCCAGUGUUGGUGCAACCUGAGUCCGGGAAGGAGUUUGUAAUUUACAGUGAUGCAUCUUUGAAUGGUCUUGGGUGUGUGUUAAUGCAAGAGGGCAAAGUAAUAGCUUAUGCUUCGAGACAAUUGAAACCGCAUGAGAAGAAUUAUCCGACGCAUGAUUUAGAAUUGGCUGCCAUUGUUUUUGCUUUAAAAAUUUGGCGUCAUUAUUUGUAUGGUGAAAAGUGCCGAAUCUUCACUGAUCAUAAGAGUUUGAAGUAUUUGAUGAGCCAAAAAGACUUGAAUUUGCGGCAACGAAGAUGGCUCGAGCUAAUCAAAGACUAUGAGCUAGUGAUUGAUUAUCACCCCGGGAAAGCUAAUGUGGUUGCUGAUGCCUUAAGCAGAAAAUCUAUAUUUGCUUUGAGAGCUAUGGAUACGAUGUUAACUUUGUCUGAUGAUGGCUCAAUGUUGGUUGAAUUGAGAGCUAGACCAUUAUUUCUUCAGCAAAUUCGGGAAUCUCAAAAGAAUGACAGUAAAUUGCAAGCCAAGAGAGCUCAGUGUGAAGCAGGUGUUGACUCAGAUUUUCAAAUUGGUUCAGAUGAUUGCCUGAUGUUCAGGGACAGAAUAUGUGUACCGAGAAAUGAUGAGCUAAUUCGGACUAUUUUAUGUGAGGCACAUAGUGGUGACUUGUCAGUUCAUCCAGGUAGUGUGAAAAUGUAUAAUGAUUUGAAGAAGUUGUAUUGGUGGCCAGGCAUGAAAAAGGAUAUCUCGGAAUUUGUAUCAAAGUGUUUAAUCUGUCAACAAGUGAAGGCUGAGCAUCAAGUACCAUCGGGUUUACUUCAACCGAUAACGAUUCCAGAGUGGAAGUGGGAUAGUAUUACGAUGGAUUUUGUGACAGGAUUGCCUUUAACUCCAAAGAAGAAAGAUGCUAUUUGGGUAAUUGUUGAUAGAUUGACAAAGUCGGCUCAUUUUAUUCCGAUACGCAUUGAUUACUCACUUGACAGGUUGGCAGAAUUAUAUGUUGCUGAAAUAGUGAGAUUACAUGGGGUGCCUAAAUCUAUUAUAUCGGAUAGAGAUCCGAGAUUUACUUCGAGGUUUUGGAUAAAGUUACAGGAAGCUUUGGGUACGAAAUUGAAUUUCAGUACUGCAUUUCAUCCGCAAACUGACGGGCAAUCAGAAAGGGUGAUUCAAGUUCUUGAAGACAUGCUCCGGUGUUGUAUUUUAGAAAUGAAGGACAGUUGGGAGAAAUAUCUACCACUGGUUGAAUUUGCUUAUAAUAAUAGUUAUCAGUCAAGUAUACAAAUGGCACCGUAUGAAGCAUUAUAUGGGCGUAAAUGUAGAACCCCUUUAUAUUGGACUGAACUCGGUGAGAAUCGGAUUCAUGGAGUCGACCUGGUGAAAGAAACUGAAGAAAAGGUGAAAAUAAUCCGUGAUUGCCUAAAAGCUGCCUCAGAUCGGCAAAAGUCGUAUGCGGAUUUAAAGAGAAAAGAAAUUGAGUUUCAAGUGGGUGAUAAAGUGUUCUUGAAAGUAUCCCCAUGGAAGAAGAUUCUGAGAUUUGGUCGUAAAGGCAAACUAAGUCCACGUUUUAUUGGACCAUAUGAAGUUACCGAGAGAGUUGGCCCUGUAGCAUAUCGGUUAGCUUUACCGCCAGAGUUGGAAAAGAUACAUAAUGUAUUUCAUGUGUCAAUGUUGCGACGUUAUCGUUCGGAUCCUUCACAUAUAGUUUCUCCUACAGAGAUUGAGGUUCGAUCAGAUAUGACUUAUGAAGAAGAACCCAUAAAGAUUUUGGCUCGGGAGGUCAAACAGUUAAGAAAUAAAAGUGUAGCCUUAGUGAAAGUGUUGUGGCAAAAACAUGGAAUGGAAGAGGCUACGUGGGAACCGGAGGAAAUUAUGAGGAAACAGUACCCAAACCUCUUUUCCGGUAAGAUUUUCGUGGACGAAAAUCCCUAAGAGGGGGAGAGUUGUAACAGCCCGAUUCUGGGCCUAGUCGGAAUAGUGGUUUCGGGAUCACAAAUCCGAAGAGGGAAAAUAUGGUUAUUAUUAUAUUUUUAUGAUCUACAAUUUCACGGAAAAUUUUCGUAAAAAUUUCGUUCGAAAAUUUCGACGUUUGGGCACUCAAUUUAGUCAAAAGGACUAAAUUGUAAAUAGUGCAAAAGUUGAGUUCUACAUCUUAGAGGUGUCUAAUUGUUAUGAAAUUUUAAAUUGGAGGUCUUUAUGUGGUAAUUAGACCAUUAGUUAGUUGAUGGACAAAAAUAGACAUAAGAAAUGGGUGAAAUAGAUUUUUUUUAAAUGGGGGCAUUUUAGUCAUUUGGUUAUUAAAUAGAAUUAAAUGGGAAAAAGAUGGCAAAAUAUGCUCAUCUUCUUCAUGGUGAACGAAAUCAGCAAGGGGGAAGCCAUAUUUAGGGUUUUUUAAGCUUUCAAGCUCCAUAGUAAGUGAUUCUAAGCCCCGUUUUUAAUGUUCUUCGCAUUUUUGGAAUCCUCGUAACUCGGUUUAGCUUAUUCUAGCAAUAAUUCGUGUUAGGGAUCAUAUUUGGAAAAAUACCCAUAGGUGAAAUGUGUUUAUUUUGCUGUUUUAUGGUGGAAUAUGAAGCUAUAAAUUAUGUUAAACAACUUUUGCUAAGCGAUUUUAAGCGAAAACGGGUAAAUAGGCAUAAUCGGUAAAAAUAAUUAUUGUUCAUAAGUGUAUGUUAGAGUGAGAAUUUGAUGUUGCCAUAGAAGGGAAAAAUGUUCAGCAUGUCAUAAAACCUAAGAAUAAGUGAUGAAGUUUAAUUUCCGAGCUUGGGGACAAAAGUGUAAUUAUGCAAAAGUUUGGGGGCAAAAUUGUAAUUUUUCAAAAAGUUGGGUGGUGGAUUAUUUUAAUGAAUGUGAACAUUAAAUGAGUUAAAUUUGCUAUUAUAGAUCAAGAAAGACGUGAAGAUUAUCUCAAACGAGGAAAAGAAAAGAUAGUGGAGUGAAGUGCAAUAUUACGAUAUUUUGCACCGAGGUAAGUAAACACGUGACUUGAUGUAUUAUUUUGACAUUAAUUGAUAUAUGUUGAGAUUUAUUUGGAAUUAAAAUAAAUGUUUGGCCAUAUCCUAAAAAUGUUGUUAAAUCGGGAAAGGUGGUAAAGGGUUGCAAUAUAUGAUUUAUGGGUUGAACACUCGGAAUAAGCCGAAGUAUGUUGUACAUAAAGGGGUUGCUGUGUGCUGAUUCCCCGAUUCAUUGGUGGUGCUAUGUGCGAUAUCCACCGUAUCUUUGAAAUGUGAAAGGGGGUUGCUAUGUGCUGAUUCCCCCGAGGGGUUGCUAAGUGCUGAUUCCCCAGUUCAUUGGUGGUGCUAAGUGCGAUAUCCACCGUAUCUCUGAAAUAAAAAGGGGGUUGCUAUGUGCUGAUUCCCCCAAGGGGUUGCUAAGUGCUGAUUCCCCGAUUAAGUGGUGGUGCUAAGUGCGAGAUCCACCAAUAACGGUUAACAUUCCGAGUGCUCAAUGAAAAAGUGUGGAAGGUGAAUAUUUCCAUAUGGUGGGAAAUUUUUAUGGGGCAAAUAUUGAGUUGGAUACUAAAUCGAUCCAUGUAUGAGAUGGGAGAAAAUAUCAAAAACGAAAAAAGGAACGAUUUAGUUAUAAACUGUGUUGAACAACAGCAGAUGGGUAACUUUGAAAAAUCACCAUAAAUGGUGGAAAAUGAAUGGGAAGCUGAAUAAUAUAUGAAAUUGAAGCUGAAUGUGUCUAUUUUCAUAUGAAAUAAAUAGAAUAAGCAAAAGAGUUGUAUUUUUGGAGAUAUCUAAAUUUUACUGAAACAGGGCUGGAUUGAUUUCGGGAUCCCCUGUUCUAACUUUGGAAAAUCACCAAAAAUUGUACAAAAAUAAUUAUGGUGUGAAAUUUAUAUUCCUGGAUUCCUUAUUGACUCUAUUUUUAAUAGAAACAAGCGAAACCAUUUUUAAAAUUUUGUACAGAGAGUUAAGUGAAUUUUUUUGAGGAAGGGUCAGAACCGUUGGGCAGUGAAACAGGGGAAGUUUUAAUGAAUAAACUGUACUAAUUGGCUGGGUAAAAAUUUCUGAAAUUUUUAUGGUGAAAUGGUAUAUGGGUCUAGUUUCAGGGAAAAUUUACGAAACUCAAUUUGGAGCCCUGUAGCUCCGGAUAAAAAUAAAUUAGCGACUAUGACGCAGAAAAACAGUUUGCUGGAAAUUGCCUAAACAAUGAAGUUAUUCAUGAAUAAGUUUAUAUUUUGGUGUAGUUAUAUGAGUAAUUACUUAUUUAUCAUGUGUUUACUUACUAAGCUAUAUGCUUACUCGAUUUUAUUUUUCCCUUGAUUAUAGUGACUUCCGACAACUCGAAAAUUUGGAACGAAGUCAGACAAUCAUCCACACUAUCCUUCACACUUGGGGUAUUUUGCUACUAUCAUUCCGGAAAAUUAUGGCAUGUAUAGACGACCUAUGAAAUCUGAAAUCAUCAUGUAAAUAUAUGUUAUGGUUUGAUUUAAAAUGUGGUGUUCAUUAAUAGUUAAAUUGUGAGUAUUAUUAUAAAUGAGUUUGGUUGAUAUAUAUAUAUAUUGGAUUGUGAUUUAAAUUUGCAGGAGGUUUAAGCAAAAUUAAGCAGAAAUGCUGUCGAAAUUUUUUUUAAAAAAACUUAGUAAUACCUCAUACUCUGUUCCGAGCCGGAAUACGAGUAAGGGGUGUUACACGCAAAGUGCAUUGUAAAGUCUACAAGGUUUGCUAGACAAUGUAUAACAAUCAUGAAUUAUUAAAUUUAAGUAAUCAAUUUAUAACUUUAUAAUAUUUCAAAUUCAUAGCAAAAUAUUUAAUUAGGGAACUUAAUAGUUCAUGGAAUUGAUAUAUUUAAUUUCACUCAGUGAAGAUUAUUUUUAUUUAAUAAAAUAUUAUUAAUAAAUUUCUUCAAGUGAAAAUUAAUCAUUUUGUUGAACUAAUAUUUUAAUUAAGAUAAUUUUAAUUUAAUAAAUAAUAAUUAAUAGGUUUGCUUAUAUUAAAGAGUUAUAAUUUUACUUAAAAUUAAGAUCAUAUGUUGUUAUAGAGAACUAAUUUAAUAAAGAACGUACUUCAUAACUAUAGAUAGUAUAAAUAUAAGUGAAAAAUUAUUAUAAAAAGUUAACUAUUAUAAUAGAAUGUUAUUAUAACGAGUAAUUGUUAUAAAAAAAAAUUAUUGUACUAGCUUAACAAAAUAGAUAAAUUUGAACUCUAAUAAUUAUGAAUGAAGCAUAUAAAUUUUAAUUUCUCCUCUUCAUAUCUAAUCUAGGGUUUUGGUUUCCAUUGUGUCCACAACUUGCAUAUCUCAAUGAAUUAAUGAGUUUCUUCUUUUCAAUAUUUAUUGAUUAGUUUAUUCUUCAACAUCUAUCUAGAAAGGAAAAGGUAGGGUGUUAUUCAUCAUCAAUUUGAAUUUUAUUCAUUUAUGUACGCGUGUGAAAAUUAUAUAUUUAGAAUACAUAAUAUUAGAUUAAAAAUAAUGAAAUAUAAAUAUUAAAAUUGAUUAACAAUAACACAUAAAAUAUAUACGAUAUUAAAAUGGAAAAUAACAUAUUAAAUUAUGAGUAAAACAAAAUUUAAAGAUAUAAAUACAUCAUAUUAAAAGCACUAAAUCCAAUUGUUCAUUAUGGUGCUGUCAUCAAUCUUGAGUUAGUGUUGAGUUCACUUGUAAUAUCAACUCAAUCAACCAUAUUAUUAAUGCUAGAAAUUUUAUCACACAUAUACGUAUGGAAAUCAUAUAUUUAGAACACAUAGUGUUUGAAAAUAACAUGUAAUAAAUAAUAAAAGAUAUCGUUUGAAACUAAUAAUAAGACACAUGCAAUAUGUACGAAAUUAAAAUGAAAAAAAUAUAGUUUAAAUUGUAAUUUAAAAAAAAGUCAUUUUCCUAUAACACGUCAAAAAGUUAUUUUAGAAAAAUUAAAUAUUAAAAUUCAAAUUAUGGCAUACCCACAAUGUUUGUGAAAAACAAAAUUAUGUAUCAAACAUAUUUGUAAAAAUUUUAUAUAAAUAAUAAAUAAGGUUUUAGUUGAAUGGUAAAGUAUAAAUGAGAAAAAUUAAAGAGAAAUGAGUUCAAAUCUUAUUUUAUAUACACAUGCACGCGUGCGCACACACACAUAUAUAUAUAUUUCUAUUUUUAUAUAAAAUAAAUAAAAUGAUAUAAAUACCUUCAAAAUAACAAAAUUUACUUCAUAUAGUGAGGGUAUUUUUAAUUUCUUUUCCAACUGAGUUGGUAUCUGGUUAACCUGUGGCACUAACUCAGUAAGAAGCCUUAAGUAUAGAUAUACAAUUGAUGGAGGUAAUAUAGUGUGCAUAAUAAAAUUAAAAUGUAAAAAGAUAAAAUAAAUCUUUGGUUGAGUGAUAAUUUAAGAUUUUAUUAAUACCAUUAACUUGGGUUCAAGUCCCACUGAUUGUAUUUAUUAUUCUUUUUAAAUAAAAAGAUAAAAGUACACUCGAAAAUUAAAAUUUAUUUUUAAGUAUGAAAGAACAUUAUGAUAAUUUUCCUAAUUGAAUCAUACCUAAUUGACUUAUGACAUCAACUUAAUCAAGAGGUUGAAAUUUGUAUGUUCAGAAAAAACUUGUUCUUGAAGAUGUAUUUAUAAUUUUACUUGUAGACCUAUUUAUGUUUGCUAAGGAAAAUUGAAAAUAAGAAAAAUAUAAAGAGAAACAAUUUUUUAUCGUUAUUUGUGUGCUUGAUAAGAAAUACGAAAAAUUGAAAGUAAAAGUAAUUUUUUUCUUAUUAAUUGUUUAGUAGAGUUAACAAAUAAAUUCAUCAAAAAUGGCUUCUAUCACAAUUUGCUUUCGAACUACAGUGAUACCUAAAUAUUUUUUUGUCCCAUUUUGAUACCUUACUCAUUAUAGUUUUCGGUCCAAAAUAUUAAUGGUAUUUAAAAAAAAUUGUCAAACCAACCAACGAGCUACAUGUUUGACUUUUUCACGUAUCAUUAAUUAUGUGACCAAUGAUCGAUAAUGUGGUCGUUGACAAUUGGCUAAUCAUUAUUGAUCGUAUUACUAAGCAUUGAUUGGCAAUGUGUAAAAGAAGGCCAUAUAUACCAUUAAUUUUUUGGACUAAAACUUAUAACAAAAUAAUAGUUUAAAUAUCAAAAUAAGAAAAAUUAUUUAUGCAAUAAAAUAAGAAAAUGAGUAUAGUGUAAGGGUUAACUCGUGACCUAAAUUUAAAAAAUACAUAAUUUUAAUAUAGCAUACAUUUCUCCUAUUUCCUCCCAAUUUAUCAUGAUUUAUUUUUAUGCAUUAAAAUAUAAAAUUAUUGUCACUUAUUUUAUUUUCUCUCGCUUUAUUAUUAUUAAUUUUCAAUCAAUCACGCCUACUUAACAUUUGAAAACUAAUUUUAUCUUACUUUUUAUUACAAUACCAAUUUUAAAAAAUAAUAAGAAACAUGAGUAGGUUUACACAUUCAACCUCGUUUAUUUAUUGCCUUUUAACACACUAUAUUUCCAGAGCAAGGAAGAUAUAAUAGUAGGAUAAAAGUUGUAAAGUUUGACAUUCUAAUCUCAUUUUUUUUUUAAAUAAUAACAUGAAUAAACUAAUAUAGAUGUUAUUUUUAGUUUUUUUAUUUAUUCUCUUUUUAAUUAUUUAUUUAAUCUUUUUUUUUUCACCAAUUUUUAUUAAUUUGAUAAUUUUGGUUUGUCUUGAAAAUGAUAAGUACCGAAUUGAAUAUAUGUGAAAAUAUGAUAUAAUAUUAUAAAUGUGAAAUUGAAUCAGGAUUAUUAUGUGUUGUGCUAUUAUAUUUGAGAAUUGAUUAUUGGUUGAUGAAAUUAUGUGAUGAAAUUGAGAAACUGUUACCAUAUCAACUAUUCGGGUAUAGUCGGAUAUAGUUGACAUUCCAUAGGAUAGGAAGAGUUCAGGGUUACUUUGACUACAUGUCGAUGAGACACUGGAUGCCAAAUUACUUUGGUUAUGCUGAUGGGGCACUGAGUGUCAAACACAUUAAUGAGCGUUGGGAGCAAACUAUUUACUUCGACAUUGUGCAAUGAGGCACUGGGUGCCAAACUGGUGUGAUUGAUUGGAUUCAUGUAUCUGUCUGAAUUUGAUUCAGAUUUAUAGGGGUAUAAAAUAAAAUUUGAUAAAUAAAAUUGUGAUUAACGGAUAUAGAUGAUAUGUAAAAAAUAAUACGAACUGGUGGGCUGAUAUAAAAAUGUGAUGAAUUAAUGAAUUCAAUUCAGAAUUUGAAUAAGGAAAUGAAAUAGUAAUUGUCAUUAAACUUAAAUUGGAUAUAUAAUUGAUAAAUAGAUGGAAUGACAUAAUAUUAUAAGAAUGACGUUCAUAUAGUUAAAUGUUGAAUUGAUUUUGAGAAUGGUAUUGAAAUGUGAUUUUAGGUGAGGUUUAUUUCAUAUUGAAAUGUUAUACAAUGAGUUUAAAAGUUAACUCAAUUUGUUGAUUUAUGAUUACCAUGUUUAAAUAAAAUUGCCAAGUUGAAUAACUUAAUUGGUAAAUAGGUUGUGUACUAAAAUGAUGUGCACUUUGGCAUUUUUGUCAAAGUUAUGGUAAAAGUUUAAAUGGCAUAAGUUAAUUGUGUUUAGAUUGAGGUUGAAAUGUUAAGAUAUCUGCAGUGCCUUAUUUGAAUGAUUGUUAAAUAUAUAUGCUAUUAAGUUUACUAAAGUGUUCAUUACAUGUGAAAUAACUUGUACGGUUUUGUAGCUAUGGAUGAAUUAGAAUAAUUUUUUAUGUUGGCAAAAUAUACACCAUUUGAACCAUUAGUUUAUUUUCUUUUUGUCAUUUCAUAUCAUAAAUAAGAUGAUCCUAUUCAGCUCCCUAUUAUGAAUUUAAGACGAAUUUCAUACUUCAUCGUUUUAGAACGAAAGAAAAGUUCAACAACCGGAACUUAGACCUGGCAGUCUACACGUCUUCAUUUAAUAUUAGAAAUAGAAUAUUAUUAUUAUUGAGCUUAUACUACAUGUUACAAUAUAUGUAGAAUGAAAUAAAAGAAUACUAUUAAGGAAAUUUUAAUCAAUAAAAUCUCUGGUAUAACAAAUUAAAUUAAAAUCCCCGUUAAGGAGCAGUGCAUUCUUUUGGAAGUCCCUGAGGGAAUCGCUUGGUGUCGGUGCAGUAAUUGUAAAUCAUGUAAUUUUUCUGAACCCAUUUCAGCUUUUCUUGGCUCGUUAUAUCCAGUUCUUGCGAUAGCCAUGAAUUUUGAGAGGGCGAGGUGGAGGAACAUGAUGAUUUCCCGGAGGACCAGACACAUGCAUCAGCCUUGUAAUUCCUGUAAGCAGCAGUGAAAGGAGCUUUGCUCCAAUCUGUCUUAACAAGACCACCUCGAGUGGCCCAAUCAUCGGCGUUCCAAAGACUCGAAUACACUCUCAUCGGCUGGCUCUUUGGGAACGCAACGCCCGUCGUUUCCAAGUCCUUGAACUCUCUGAUCGGAGUCCCAUCAACAGAGAAGCUGUGAACAUUCAAAAGAAUCACAAUUAAACAUAAUGAAAAUAAUCGAAACCGUAAAAUUAAAAAGGAAGGGGGGUGGCUGUAAAAGAAGACAUACAUAAUACGUUGAGGGUUCCAAAGAAGGGAGUAGGUGUGGAAGUCUUUGGUGGGAUCGAACCAAAGGUAGAACUGUUGCUCUUUGUCACCUUUGCCUUGUGUAUAUACAUUGGUGUGGACUAUGUAUGGGUCUCCGCUUAGGUUCCCCAAGAACUCGAAGUCGAUUUCAUCCCAUGUUGACCCUUCCGAACGAAGCUGCAAUUGUCACCCCACAUAUCAGCACGGAGUUGUAAUAUAAAUAAGAGACAAGUAUGAUGAUAAAACUUACAUAGUAAGUGGUAACAGUGCCAGCAGAGUUGCCUGGGACCAGCUUAAUGUUCAUAUCAAUUUUCCCAAACAGAUAUUGGUUCUUGGAUUGAAAACCAGAGCCGGAGAAUUUGUCGAGGGUGAGAGUGAGAAGGUUUCCGUUUUCGAGAAUCUUGCCCCUUCCAUCUCCCCAAGUAACGUCGAUGUCUUGGUUAAAGUUGGCGGCUGAAGCAACCAUUACAAAGCUGAUUAAGCCAGAUAGUAGCAGCAAUGAAGUCCUCAUUUUUUUUGGUAGGUUUGUAU